ACGCUCGACACCUACGGGAAGCAGCAGUGGGGAAUAUUGCACAAUGGGGGAAACCCUGAUGCAGCGACGCCGCGUGAGUGAAGAAGUAUUUCGGUAUGUAAAGCUCUAUCAGCAGGGAAGAAAAUGACGGUACCUGAGUAAGAAGCCCCGGCUAACUACGUGCCCGCAGCCGCGGUAAUCUGAGCGGGCUGGCAAGGC
rnacentral:rRNA from 1 species